CAGAGUCAUAGAGCCGGGGAUGGUGUUCGGCGCAAAGGCCAGACAAGGUUCAGUCCUAGCUACGGGUUCGUCUACGAUACAAGGACUUUGGGAAACUGGGACUGACGAACUCCUAGAACUGCUAGAAGAGGAGAUCUCAGAAGAUAUUAUGGAUCAAAUGGAAGCCACAAAAAUCCUGAAAGAAUUGAGAAAAAUAGUAAACAAGCCCUCGAGAAAACUAAACGAACAGAACAUGAAGAAGAAAAGACAGGAAAACGAUAAGAAGUUCCGAAACUAACCUAGAUUGGCCCCAGGAGUGCAGGAAGAUGGCAAGGACGAUGAAAGUCGAUCCGGAGGAUGCCUAAGGCCGAGGAGGAUGCUAGAGGAAGCUGGAGCUCUCGGGGAAGAGGAGGGGAACCGAGGGAUUCUCUUAGGCAAAGUGAAACCCCUGAAGGAGGAGAACGUGUUUAAAUAGACCCCGAGAUCCGGUGCAAUAAUGAUUGCGGGUCUCCUCUGGCCGGCCUACACUCACCGCGUGUCCCACUCACCUUGACAGACUGUUGGAAACGGCUGGCAGCUGAUAAAGUCAUUAUUACGCCGUACCUAGAGCCACGCUCCGAUGGAAAUUUCAAAAAGAAGAAAUCUUUUUCGAAAGGGCUCUAGUACCAGCAUGCCAAACGUCAAAAUAUCUGGCAACCACCGAGCACGAAAAUCGAGGAGAGCAACUUCGGUCAUGAGAAUUUCUCUGUACUUCCUUCAUUCGGAGUCCGAACUCGGAAGUAGGGGGACUGGUGUUGGGUAUAAAAUACCCUCCGACUGAAGUUUGUAAAAGACCGACCCUUCCAAGGCUCUUCCGACUUUCGACUUUGUGUGUGGCGUCUCUCCGAACCCCCUCGACCGUCCGAGCUUCCGAACUUCUCCGACAAGGAGCCUCUCCAUUCAUCUACCAGGCCGCUCCACAGGCUUUCUAAGCCUCACUAUCAGCCGACCUUCUACAGUGAUCAACUAUUCUCUGAACUUCUUCCGGACUUCGUCAAUAUCCGAGCUUCUUCGACAAUGAGAUUUCUACAGUAAUCAGACUCCAUCUAAGUUCCUACGGCGGUCGACCACCUUCAGGAUUCCAACCGAGCUCCCGCGAGAGCCGAACUUCUACUACGAGCGAUCUACUCCGAAUUUCUAUAGCGGACUGUCUACCCCAG
rnacentral:lncRNA from 1 species